UACGGAGGGUGCAAGCGUUAUCCGGAUUCACUGGGUUUAAAGGGUGCGUAGGCGGGCAGGUAAGUCCGUGGUGAAAUCUCUGAGCUUAACUCAGAAAUUGCCAUGGAUACUAUUUGUCUUGAAUAUUGUGGAGGUAAGCGGAAUAUGUCAUGUAGCGGUGAAAUGCUUAGAUAUGACAUAGAACACCAAUUGCGAAGGCAGCUUACUACACAGUUAUUGACGCUGAGGCACGAAAGCGUGGGGAUCAAACAGG
rnacentral:rRNA from 1 species